UAAAGGUUAGCUUACAUGAAUCACGCUUUUCUUCUACUCGAUCUACUACUUAUCGCCUUUAAUGUGCGCGGUAUUUUGGUGGAUGAAAAAUGGCGUUAAGUUAACCUUCAUCAGAAAAAAAACCCGCGCACAACGCGGGUUUUUUU
rnacentral:sRNA from 1 species